GUACGGAUCGGGUAGUGACAGUGACAAGGCUGUUUUGUCAGAACACCGGAUCCUAUGGCCGCUGUAGCUGAGCUCGCUUUUCUUACGAGCUUCACGGAUUACAAGGUCUUUUAUUUGGUCGCAGAAUAACCGGAGCUGGACUCCGGUGCGCCCUGUCCAGCUCGGGCGGUGAGGGAAGCACCUGCGCUCCGAAAACAUCGACGAGGAGCUGAAAAAAGAAAGCUGUCGGGUGUGGGCCUUCAAUGUCCUCAGCACCUCACAAGUAAGGCACACACCCUCACCAAGAGCUGCUCUACAGUCACAGACUCUGGUCAGGAGAAGAGAUUUUCCAGUGCCUACUCUCCUGGGUUCAGUGGGUGAAGUGGAACAGAUGCUUCGAAUCCUCAGCAACAAACCACCUGCUCCAGCAGAGAUGCUUAAACCAGUUUUGUCUUUUUUAGUCUGUGAAGCUGCAAAAAUGGCAGACUGGAAGACUCUGAUGGCUUUCAUCAAUCUGAAUCUCUCAGAAUCUCAACAGUUAUGUACUCAGCAUUGUUGCCCAGUGAGCAAUGUUCAAGUGAAAUCUGGUGGCAAAUUGUAGGAAUGCAGCCAAAAUGCCUGUGACUAGUGCCAAAGCAUAACAGUAAAUAUUCUGACCCAUGUGGUCAGUUAAAGAGGGUGGGGGAGUAAAGAAAGGCCACUUCCUCCCUUGUGUUGGUGUAGCUGAAGUUGUAGAAGUUAAAUAUUGCACAGUGCUGUCAAUAUUUUCUCCUCUUGCCUUUGGUGCAGUUUAUCCAUCUAGAUUAUUUUGGUAUGGACAACCCACUUUUGUAGUUUUCUCUGAGCUCUGUGUCUCUGAAAAGUAAUGUUUCCAUCCUAAAGAAAUCCAGACUGUGUUACAGAUCUACUGACCUUGUAGGAAUUCUUUUCUUUCCUCUGAACUACAUCUGCUAACCAUAUCAGUGUCCUGGAGGAAGCACGUAAAGGCUUUGAACAAGAAGCUUGACUUCAUGACAGGCUUCAUGCUUCUUUGUAGUUGGCAGGUGUAGACACUGCACCAGAUUUCUGAGUUUCAACAAAUUCAUAUACCAGAUGUUUGGCUGGUCGAUGCCACCAGGCAACGGACAUUAUGAAUUCAACCCUGUUGUUUUAAACACUGGUAUGAAUGUAAACAACUCCAGAGUUGACAACACAAGUUUUGAAGGAGCAAAUUAGAGCCUUGACAGCAGCUAAUGUUCCUUUAAUUACAAAUAUUUUAAUGUAUAUCAGCUUUUUUUGUAUUAAGUUUUAAUCUUCUUGUCUUCAUGUAGCUCAACAUAUCAGUCUCCAAUUGGGGUGAACUUUUGGCCCUUUAUUUUUAACCGUUUGAUUAGAAAUAUUUGAAUUCAGUCUACUCUGGCUAUUUUAAAUACAGUUUGUUCGAUCCAAAAUACCUACUGGGAGACAGAACAUCAUCGAAGUUUUCUAUAUAAUAAGAGAUGAAUUAAUGAAAAUGUGUUUUAUUUCAGGUUGUAGCUUCCAGUAUUUGUAAAAAAUAAUAUACAUAAAGAAUAUUAUCUGCCUUGUGUAUGAGAAACUAUAAAUAAAAUAUUUGUUUCACCUAUUCAAAA
ensembl:lncRNA